CUGUCCCUGUCCUUCUUGUGUCAACAGACUGCUACAGAAGAAUUUAGGUGCUGGAAUGAAGAGCGGCUGAAAGUUCUAAUGAGGAACAGUGAGGGAAGGAGGGGCAGCCUUGGGGAGUUGGGAAGGCUUCCUCUAGAAAGGAAACAUAGGAGGUUUUAAUGGGGCCUGAGAUGAGGAGUUCCAGGUAUCUCAGCUGGAGACACAGGAGUGAAGUGGUAAGUCACAAGUCACAGAGGACAGCAAGUGAAGAAGGAAAACGCAUACACCAACAUGGUGGUUUUGAACGUGCUAUGAAGCUCAGAAGGCUGGCCAAGGUCAUGGGCUGGCAGCUUCCAGUGGAUCUGAAUGGCCCUGGGGCCUGACCCCAGAGCCUGCCUCUGACCCCAUCCAUCUGCGACUGCCUGACUCCAAGUCAGAGAUGUUCAUCCUAGACACAU